ACCUACUUAUUUUACACAUUUGUCCUAGACUUCAUCCCAAAUAACCCUAGAAGAAGCCACUUGUUAUGGAGCAAAAUGGGCCGAUGGCUUGAAUUAUCCCUCCACUGAGGAAGAAACUAUCCUAAGAAGGCUGCAUAAAGUACUUCCUGGUUGAAAGGGCUCUGGCGUCAGCGUCUUGAAUUUGAAUCCCAACUCUGAAAUGUAUCAGUUUGCGACCUUAACUGUGGUCACAUGACACAAGAGCAAGUCAAGAUAUAUUCAAGGAACCACCUAGAAGUUCCUCUGCUCAGAAGGAACCAGGAUCCUGGCAGUCCCUGGAUCCACAAAAAAAGGCCAAAAGUUCAGGGGUUCUCAGAAGUGAGAUGGUUCUCCCUCUCUGCAAGGCAUUCAACUGACCCUGAUCCAGUGUCAUUCCACGGGGAAAACUGGAACACUGGGGAGUUGGUGCUUUUCUCUUUUGCCUCUUACUUACAUUUCUGCAGUACAGUUAAGUCCCCUACAUACGAACCUUCAAGAUGUGAACUUUCAAAGAACAAACGUGCAUUCCCAUGUCCAAUCACGUAAGUUAGUUCAUGUUUCUG
rnacentral:lncRNA from 1 species